GGAGGUAGUGACAAUAAAUCACAAUGCGGGACUAUCAGUCUUGCAAUUGGAUUGAGAACAAUGUACAACUCUUAUCGAUAAGCCAUUGGAGGGCAAGUCUGGUGCCAGCAGCCGCGGUAAUUCCAGCUCCAAUAGCGUAUAUUAACGUUGUUGCAGUUAAAAAGCUCGUAGUUGAAGUGUGGGUGAUCGCUGUUGUGAGACUUCGGUCUCUCGACAGUAAGUCACCCCCUUCCAGUAUCCAGUAGUGGGUAUUCAGUUACUUACUAUUGUGUGUUGGUCAUUUACUGUGAGAAAAUUAGAGUGUUCAAAGCAGGCGUUUGCUUGAAUAGAUUAGCAUGGAAUAAUAAUUGAAGGCUUUCGUGUUCGAUUUGAUUGGUUUGUUCAUGGAAGCAAGGUUAAAAGGAACAGUUGGGGGUAUUCAUAUUCACUAGUUAGAGGUGAAAUUCUCGGAUUUAUGGAAGAUGAACAAGUGCGAAAGCA
rnacentral:rRNA from 2 species